UGCACACCUAGCAAGCAUGUGCCC
rnacentral:misc_RNA from 1 species